ensembl:lncRNA
GGGGUUCUGGGAUUUCUCCCCACUUGCUCCAGGGGCAGCUUCCUCGUCUACCCGUGUCCUGUAGCCCACACUGUUCACCCUUCACUUGUCCCAAACCUGGAGGGGCCUGUGGGGCUGAGCAGGAGGCAAUCGUGGGACCAGGAACUGGCUCCCAUCUGCAGCCACCCCUGGGCACCUGGGAAUGUGGGGGGUCACCGGGCAAACACUCUAAUCGGCAUCACAGCCCCCCAGCCUCCAGGCCUCUCCUGACCUAGGACCCCAUGGACCCCAGGAGAGGAAGCUGACUUGGGAGCCGCCCACCUUGCUGGCCGCCGCGGGCACCCACCUCCUUCUCAGACCUGAGUCUCGGUUUCCAGGUCAGGUCCUGGCCUUCCUGUGCCCCGGGGCUGUGCUCCGCCCAGAGUCAUGUCCCUUUCGCUGGUGCUAGAACACGUAGGGAGGGCCCCUGCCUGCCCCUGGGAAUGCUCAUGGCUCUUCUGGGGACACUGCCCUCCUGGUGCCGACAGGCACCCUCCAUCGUCAGUGUCAGGACUGGGGGCUGCUGGGCAUGGGGUUCCCAGCCGGGCUGUGAAGGGGGGGGAUCCCAGGGAGCUGUUAACAUCUGCUGCCCAGCACACACCCCAUCAAUCCAACCAGGGCAGUGAGCGCGGAUCCUCCAGGGCAUGGGGAAGCUCCCAGCAGCGUCAGAGGUGCUGCUGGGGGCGGGGAGGUGGGGGGGGGGGUGUCUCUGGUUUUGUUUCUGAGAAACUCACCCAGAACCAGUGGGAAGCCCAGUCUGGCUGCCCAGAUGCUGAGUCUGCUUUUCAGCAGGAGGCCGAGGAUUCCGUGCCCAGCCGCGGGUUCGGUGGGCUGCUUGCUGAGAACCUGGGGAUCAGCUUGAGGGAGCGGCCACGUCCACUCUAAGAAAGGCAGCCCCCACCCUCAUUCGCCAUCGUAUCAGCUCCCUGGAGCUGCCGUAAGCACAGACAUGGGGCCUUCAGGCAACAGAGAUCCAGCCCCUCACGUUCCAAGGUCAGGGUUGGAAACCCAGGUGUCUGCAGGGUUGUCCCCUCCUGGAGACUCAGGGAGGCCCUGCUCCAGCCUGGCCUCCAGUUCCAGGGGCCCUGCACGUCCUCCACUCGCAGCCACGUCAUGCCAUCACUACACAGCCUCCUCCUCCCGCCGUGUUUCCUGUAGGGACACCUGUCCCUGGACUUAGGACUGACCCUGGUAACCAGGACCAUCUCAUCUCA